UUUCCGUUUCAUAUUUUUCUUGCAUAGGACAGGAUAUAUUUGAUCACUGGUCGGCAAAUUAGUUGUGGUAUGCCAUUAAAACAUAAAGAAUAAGUACUUUACGCAGCUUUGGCGCGUUGUCCCCAUGGCAAUCAUUCCAACAAGGAUAUCCACAGACCACACGAGUGUAAAUUUAUUCAUCUCACCCCGCGUCUUUAGUCUCUUUAUCAUCAUUUUACAAGGGGGACACGUACAUAUACUACAGAGAAGUGUGUGCAUACUGGAACUGAGGCAGAAGUGCAAAAGGAAUAAAGCCUUGCUCAUGAGGGAUAGUGACUGACAUUUCUGGUGGUUGUUCUGUGAACGCUUGGCUGAAGCUGAAAAGCAUCCACUCUGAGGCAGGGUCUGUGACGAGCCAUCAUGGUCCGCCUCACCAUGGAUCUGAUUUCCAAAUCCAGCUACCAUUUGACAGACAAGAGAAGCUACUCCCUCCCACAGUAUCUCAAGAAACUCACUCACCUGAACUUCUAACAAGUACAUAGUGGACAUUGAAGAUCUCUCCAUGUGCAGAAACCUUACAGUCCUCUACCUGUACGACAAUAAGAUCACCCAGAUCUGCAACUUGGGCUUUGCCUCAAACCUCACACACCUAUACAUGCAGAACAACAACAUCACUCACGUAGAUAACCUCUCCAACCCGCAGAAGCUCUCCAAGCUGUGUCAUGAAUAUCAACAGGAACAACAUAGAUGAUGUCAGAGAUCUUGCCGUUCUAAAGAAACACUUUGCUGCAGACAACCAGCUACAGGACAUGCAGACUUCCACACGGGCCCCCAUCCUUCAUACAACUAUAACUACGGCAACACCCGUGGCAAGAAGAAUCCUCUGGAGGGGGCGACCCAGCAGGAAGGUCCACUUGGAACACUCACAACUGGACAGUGCAGCAAUGAGAUAACAUCACCAAUUUGGGAAGUUAUAUCCCAUAACUCUAUAUCGAAUAAAUCCACAUAAAUCCAAUCUGAA